rnacentral:siRNA from 1 species
AUUAGUUCUCUCAUAGUGCUCU